GUUUUAAUAGUUUAAUCAAACCGCUAUUUUGUGGAAAUAGAAAAAUAAUUUUAUUUAAAACA
rnacentral:tRNA from 1 species